UCCCUCGAGCCGGAUUCGAACCAGCGACCCAAGGAUCUACAGUCCUCCGCUCUGCCAACUGAGCUAUCGAGGG
rnacentral:tRNA from 1 species